rnacentral:rRNA from 1 species
UACAGAGGGUGCAAGCGUUAUUCGGAUUUACUGGGCGUAAAGGGUGUGUAGGUUGUUUUCUAAGUUUGAUGUGAAAUCCCUCGACUCAAUCGGGGAAGUGCAUUGAAUACUGGAGGACUAGAGUUUAGGAGAGGAGAGCGGAAUUCCUGGUGUAGAGGUGAAAUUCGUAGAUAUCAGGAGGAACAACGAAGGCGAAGGCAGCUCUCUGGACUAAUACUGACACUGAGGCACGAAAGCGUGGGGAGCAAACAGG